GGCACUUUGGCCGAGUGGUCUAAGGCGCCGUGUUCAGGUGAGCCCGAGUACCCAGGUAUUACGGUUAUCUAUUCGCGGUCUAGUAAUAGGCGAGGGUUCGAAUCCCUCAGGUGUCA